GCAAAAUUCGGACCGUCGGUCUACCGAGCAAUAUCACCCGUUCGGUGGAAGAU
rnacentral:pre_miRNA from 1 species